GCAGGACGCAGGAUUUCUGGAGUUGCCACAACAGCAAUAGAUAGCAAGGAGCAGACGGCAGAGUUUCACUCCACCGAGAGAACUCGUGACAUAAUUCUGAAGGCCAGACCGUCACAGACGCUCACUUCCGACCUACCCGGCUUUUGGAGGACCAAGCCCA